CAGCUAAGGUUGUUCCAGCUAUAAAAGCCUCACCUAAGUGUUCUCUUUUCAUUCGCCAAUGGUACCCCAAGUUCAGAACCGUUGACUUGCUGUGCAAAAUUCGAGUAUUUUUUUUUUACUAGAAUGGUUUCCAAGGUUGAUAUCGUACGAAUUUCGUUGGUCUGUGUAAUGAUUAUUUCAUACACAGCGAUGGUCGUUGGGCAAGAUGGCACACAGAGACUGUGUGAAACACCUGCCGAUUGUGGUGAAGAACCUUGUCCACCAAACGUUGAAAAGCUAUGCAGAGCAACCUUUGGUGUACCUCCAAAAAUAUGUUUGUGUGGUGUGGCGCAAUAGCAGUAGUAACUGAAAAAAAAUUGAAAAAAAAUCUUCUAUUGUUGAAUUUUUGUAAUUGAUUAUUUCAGAAGUUUAUUCACAAAUUUCUAUUUCUCAUGAAAAUUACUGUCUGCACUAAUAAA